GAAAUGCGAUAAGUAAUGUGAAUUGCAGAAUUCAGUGAAUCAUCGAAUCUUUGAACGCACAUUGCGCCCGCCAGUAUUCUGGCGGGCAUGCCUGUUCGAGCGUCAUUACAACCCUCAGGCCCCCGGGCCUGGCGUUGGGGAUCGGCGGAAGCCCCCUGCGGGCACAACGCCGUCCCCCAAAUACAGUGGCGGUCCCGCCGCAGCUUCCAUUGCGUAGUAGCUAACACCUCGCAACUGGAGAGCGGCGCGGCCACGCCGUAAAACACCCAACUUCUGAAUGUUGACCUCGAAUCAGGUAGGAAUACCCGCCGAACUUAAGC
rnacentral:misc_RNA from 1 species